UUGAGACCUUAUGCUGCACCCAUUGAAAUCAAAGGCCCAAGCCAUUGACUUCAAUGGGAGCAGAAUUG
rnacentral:miRNA from 1 species